rnacentral:rRNA from 1 species
AGAAUCAACGCUGGCGGCGUGCCUAACACAUGCAAGUCGAACGAGAAAGUGGAGCAAUCCAUGAGUAAAGUGGCGCACGGGUGAGUAACACGUGACUAACCUACCCUUGAGUGGGGGUAACCUAGGGAAACCUGGGCUAAUACCGCAUAAUACCUUCGGGUCAAAGGAGCAAUUCGCUUAAGGAGGGGUCGCGGCCGAUUAGUUAGUUGGCGGGGUAAUGGCCCACCAAGACUGUGAUCGGUAUCC